GGGACACGUGGUAUCCUGUCUGAAUAUGGGGGGACCAUCCUCCAAGGCUAAAUACUCCUGACUGACCGAUAGUGAACCAGUACCGUGAGGGAAAGGCGAAAAGAACCCCGGCGAGGGGAGUGAAAAAGAACCUGAAACCGUGUACGUACAAGCAGUGGGAGCACAGAGCAAUCUGUGUGACUGCGUACCUUUUGUAUAAUGGGUCAGCGACUUAUAUUCUGUAGCAAGGUUAACCGAAUAGGGGAGCCGAAGGGAAACCGAGUCUUAACUGGGCGUUAAGUUGCAGGGUAUAGACCCGAAACCCGGUGAUCUAGCCAUGGGCAGGUUGAAGGUUGGGUAACACUAACUGGAGGACCGAACCGACUAAUGUUGAAAAAUUAGCGGAUGACUUGUGGCUGGGGGUGAAAGGCCAAUCAAACCGGGAGAUAGCUGGUUCUCCCCGAAAGCUAUUUAGGUAGCGCCUCGUGAAUUCAUCUCCGGGGGUAGAGCACUGUUUCGGCAAGGGGGUCAUCCCGACUUACCAACCCGAUGCAAACUGCGAAUACCGGAGAAUGUUAUCACGGGAGACACACGGCGGGUGCUAACGUCCGUCGUGAAGAGGGAAACAACCCAGACCGCCAGCUAAGGUCCCAAAGUCAUGGUUAAGUGGGAAACGAUGUGGGAAGGCCCAGACAGCCAGGAUGUUGGCUUAGAAGCAGCCAUCAUUUAAAGAAAGCGUAAUAGCUCACUGGUCGAGUCGGCCUGCGCGGAAGAUGUAACGGGGCUAAACCAUGCACCGAAGCUGCGGCAGCGACGCUGAUGCGUUGUUGGGUAGGGGAGCGUUCUGUAAGCCUGCGAAGGUGUGCUGUGAGGCAUGCUGGAGGUAUCAGAAGUGCGAAUGCUGACAUAAGUAACGAUAAAGCGGGUGAAAAGCCCGCUCGCCGGAAGACCAAGGGUUCCUGUCCAACGUUAAUCGGGGCAGGGUGAGUCGACCCCUAAGGCGAGGCCGAAAGGCGUAGUCGAUGGGAAACAGGUUAAUAUUCCUGUACUUGGUGUUACUGCGAAGGGGGGACGGAGAAGGCUAUGUUGGCCGGGCGACGGUUGUCCCGGUUUAAGCGUGUAGGCUGGUUUUCCAGGCAAAUCCGGAAAAUCAAGGCUGAGGCGUGAUGACGAGGCACUACGGUGCUGAAGCAACAAAUGCCCUGCUUCCAGGAAAAGCCUCUAAGCAUCAGGUAACAUCAAAUCGUACCCCAAACCGACACAGGUGGUCAGGUAGAGAAUACCAAGGCGCUUGAGAGAACUCGGGUGAAGGAACUAGGCAAAAUGGUGCCGUAACUUCGGGAGAAGG
rnacentral:rRNA from 1 species